rnacentral:rRNA from 1 species
CCUACGGAGGCUGCAGUAGGGAAUAUUGCUCAAUGGGGGAAACCCUGAAGCAGCAACGCCGCGUGGAGGAUGAAGGUUUUAGGAUUGUAAACUCCUUUUGUUAGAGAAGAUUAUGACGGUAUCUAACGAAUAAGCACCGGCUAACUCCGUGCCAGCAGCCGCGGUAAUACGGAGGGUGCAAGCGUUACUCGGAAUCACUGGGCGUAAAGAGUGCGUAGGCGGGGUAAUAAGUCAGAUGUGAAAUCCUAUGGCUUAACCAUAGAACUGCAUUUGAAACUGUUAUUCUAGAGUAUGGGAGAGGUAGGUGGAAUUCUUGGUGUAGGGGUAAAAUCCGUAGAGAUCAAGAGGAAUACUCAUUGCGAAGGCGACCUGCUAGAACAUAACUGACGCUGAUGCGCGAAAGCGUGGGGAGCAAACAGGAUUAGAUACCCGUGUAGUC